AUCCUGGUCCACUCCGCAGAGGCCCGAGCGGGCUCGCGAGGGAACGGGUUCUCCGAGUCUGGCCGGUUCUGUAGGGUGUUUGGGUCACUGGAGCCUUUGAGACCCGAGAGAUUAUUUUUAACUUUUAUAUCCCCCUGAUGGAUGCUGAGCCUGGUCUCCCUGGGACCAGGGUGAGUCCAGCUAACCGAAGGUCUUCAAGGGGAGGAGCUGAGGACCCAGCAUCUCCUGGCAGUGUACCUGGAUGAAGUCCGAGGGGAGUGCUCCCCGAAGGACACCAGCCCAAUGGAGAUGGUCUGCAGGAAUGGCCGGAUGGCAGGCGUGAACUGUGGAGAGACGCGGCUGCGUCACCCACCGCUCAAGAGAGGGAUGGGGACAGGGCAGGAGCGAGGCACAGGGAUGUGCGGGGAAGACACAUUCAUUCAGUAAACGUUUCAUGAGCUCCUA
ensembl:lncRNA LIPE-AS1 LIPE antisense RNA 1